ensembl:lncRNA
GGCAGGGCCUUAGCAGGUCGGCAGAGGCCAUGUUAAUGCGGGGCAGUCUCAUCUCUCUGCGGGGCGCGACAGGGAGGUGCUGGAAAAGAGAAGCACAUAAAGGAAAAGAAGGUGAGAGGAACUAUACCUCCCAAGAGGUGCUGAAGGUCCUGGAAUAACGCGAUGAAGCCGUCAGUGCCAAGGAAGCCACCUGGCCCAGCAGAAGCUUCUGUAGCCACUUUGGUCUCUGGCACCCUGGACCAGGGAGGUGGGAUGGGCGGAAUGCAGGAGGGGCAGGCAAACGGAACUGACGCAAGGCGCCGCCAUGCCUUUUGAGGGCGGUGACGACGCCAGGCUGGCCAUGCUGGCUACGGGCACGUGAGUGGAGGCGGCGUUGUGAACCACGGGGUGGGGAAGAUUUGGCGGCCCUGAGGCCGAGAGGCGCUGGGAGGAUGAGUAGCUUAGGGGAGGGGGACGGCCUACAUAGACCAGAGGACAGAGGUUGUCCAGUGGCCCUAUCUGAGCGCAGACAAGGAGCCUUCCCCGGGAACGGUCGUGUCUGACCCGAGGCAAAUCCCAGACAGCCUUGUCUUCUUCGUCCAGACCCCCUGAGAUGCUUCCUUUGGCGUGGGUCUACCCUGGACCCCGGGCGCGGUGGGGAGGUGUCUGCGCGGCGGAGCGGGGCCCCGACGCUCACCCGGCCUCCUGCAUGAUCGCGUUCUCCACGCCUGCGGGUGAGGGCUGCCUCCAGCUUGACGGCGGGAGGGGGGUCGCUGGCAUCCCUCGCUUCUUGGGGGACUUUGCUCUGUUGUCACAUCCUCCUGGCACCAGUUUCCCCACCUUUCUCCCCUCCUAAGGGCCCUGUCACCUCACCUCUGGCCCGCAUGUAGGGGACAGGUCUCCCUAAUGUUAAACUUCUGCAUUGAGGUGGGGGCCCCCCCAGCCGACAGGACUUUCUCUCGAGGGGAGGAGUCCGGAGGCUCCGGCUCCCUGCUUCUCCACUGUUGAGUAACUGAGCCCACAGUCUGCAGGCUCUGGCAGGGAACUGCGUGUGACUCUUGCCUCCUCCUUUUUGUCCCUGCCUCUUCUGAUGGGAGAAUCACCACCCACUCAACCCCGAUUUCCAGUGUUCCAGUGUUCAGGCCUGGGCUGCCCCGGUAGCCCUUUUCCCUGUUCCCUUGGUGGCAGGAGGGCCUGGGACCCAGAGAAGUGAGAGCCCAGGCCCGCAUGCCAGUCACCUCCCUGCUUGGUUUCCUUCUUGGAGGCCUGUGGGGGCCACGGGCACUGCCCAGUGCUGUGGGGUUUGGGGCUCAGGAAGAAGCAGUUCCAGCCCCACUCCCCCUUGUCUGGCUGAGUGCCUUCUGGCCAGUGUCUGAAGCUCUCUGAGCCCCUCCCAUCUGGGUGGGAUCAUGAAUCUCGCCUCUGAAGGCAGCAGGAUAGCAGUGAGGAUUAAGCGCAGGUUCUGACACCCAGCUGGGCCUGGGUUUCCGACUGUAAAGUGGGGUGACAACAGCUCCCCCCUCGGGGAGGUGGAGGGAGGAUGAGAAGGCCGCUCAUGCCCCAGGUCUGCCUUCCUCCCGAGGCCUGAGUGGUCCCUGAGUUCCACAGCCCCCGAGAGGCGGGAAGUGAGGUGUCAGGGUGGGCCCUGCACAGGUGCUCCGGACUCAGUGAGGAAUGGGAAGAAAGGCACAGAGAGAGUCAGGCAGCAGGCCCGGGUCACACAGCAGGUUGGAGUCAGGGCAGGAACCGAGCCCCUGGCCUCUUGCCCUUUCUCCCAUUGUCACUCCUGUCCUGGGCACACAGAUUCCUACAUUUGGGGAGUCCACAGUGUGACAGGAGGCAGGCAGUGAAACAGCUGCCACUAUCUCUGGGGACGUGAGCUGGGAUGGCGGGACCCCAGGCAUUGCAAGGACUCCUGGGAGUGGUCUAGAGCCCAGGGGAGGCACCAGGACAGGCCUUCGGAAGUUUGGAUGCUUCUUGGUGCAUUUCCAGCACAGAGCAGCUCCCUGGCCAUUUUUUUGCCUUUAUUCAACCCCUGCACUCAGUCCCCUCAGUCACAGACCCCAGUCCUGUCCCAAGGGGCGUGGGAAUCGAGUGGCCCCGGAGACUGGCUCCAUCCACAGUUGGGGGAAGUCUCAUCCACACUAGAUGAGUGAAGGAUUGGCAGCUUUAUCCCAGGGGAUCUGGCAAGGGCCAGGGUUGGAUCAGAACCAAGACUUUGUGGGCCGUGUUCGAGCUGGGCUGGGCCGUCCCCAGAGAUGCAGUGCCUGCCACACAUGCAACUUCAAAUGUCCCGGAAGACAGACGACACUCACUUUAGCCAGUGUAGCUAAAAUGUGGUCCUUUCCACAUGGAAUCAGUGUUGUUGCCCAGAUUGCUACUCACUCAUUUCCCCUUCUACCUGUUUGUACUGUGUGCAAAACUACAUAGCUCGGAUGCCCAGGCACAUGCUGAGGACAUGGGACAGGCAGGGCCCAGAGGGGAGGAGGUGGGCCGAGGGGCGGGUGUCGGGUUUGGCAAGGAGCAGAAGCGGGAGUGAGUGACACCCAGGGCCGGGCCUCAGCCCCUCUCCUGCUCUGCCCACAG